rnacentral:rRNA from 1 species
UACAGAGGUCUCAAGCGUUGUUCGGAUUCACUGGGCGUAAAGGGUGCGCAGGCGGCUAUGUGUGUGAGGCGUGAAAGCCCGGGGCUUAACCCCGGAAUUGCACCUCAAACUACAUUGCUAGAGCAUUGGAGAGGGUAGCGGAAUUCACGGUGUAGCAGUGAAAUGCGUAGAUAUCGUGAGGAACACCAGAGGCGAAGGCGGCUACCUGGACAAUUGCUGACGCUCAGGCACGAAAGCGUGGGGAGCAAAAGGG